GACGAACGCUGGCGGCGUGCCUAACACAUGCAAGUCGAACGGAGUUAAGACUUCGGUUUUAACUUAGUGGCGAACGGGUGAGUAACGCGUGAGAAACCUGCCUUUCAGUGGGGGACAACAGUUGGAAACGACUGCUAAUACCGCAUAAUGUUGCGAGAGGGCAUCCUCUUGCAACCAAAGCUUUAUGUGCUGAAAGAUGGUCUCGCGUCUGAUUAGCUAGUUGGUGAGGUAACGGCUCACCAAGGCGACGAUCAGUAGCCGGUCUGAGAGGAUGAACGGCCACAUUGGGACUGAGAUACGGCCCAGACUCCUACGGGAGGCAGCAGUGGGGAAUAUUGGGCAAUGGGGGAAACCCUGACCCAGCAACGCCGCGUGAGGGAAGAAGGCUUUCGGGUUGUAAACUUCUUUUACCAGGGACGAAGAACGUGACGGUACCUGGAGAAAAAGCAACGGCUAACUACGUGCCAGCAGCCGCGGUAAUACGUAGGUGACGAGCGUUGUCCGGAAUUAUUGGGCGUAAAGGGAGCGCAGGCGGUUGGAAUAGUCUGAUGUGAAAGCCCACGGCUUAACCGUGGAAGGUCAUUGGAAACUGUCCAACUUGAAUGCAGAAGAGGAAAGUGGAAUUCCAUGUGUAGCGGUGAAAUGCGUAGAUAUAUGGAGGAACACCAGUGGCGAAGGCGACUUUCUGGUCUGUAAUUGACGCUGAGGCUCGAAAGCGUGGGUAGCGAACAGGAUUAGAUACCCUGGUAGUCCACGCCGUAAACGAUGAGUGCUAAGUGUUAGGGGGUUUCCGCCCCUUAGUGCUGGAGUUAACGCAUUAAGCACUCCGCCUGGGGAGUACGACCGCAAGGUUGAAACUCAAAGGAAUUGACGGGGACCCGCACAAGCGGUGGAGCAUGUGGUUUAAUUCGAAGCAACGCGAAGAACCUUACCAGCUCUUGACAUCAUCUGACCACUCUAGAGAUAGAGCUUUCCCUUCGGGGACAGAUAGACAGGUGGUGCAUGGUUGUCGUCAGCUCGUGUCGUGAGAUGUUGGGUUAAGUCCCAUAACGAGCGCAACCCUUAUUGUUAGUUGCCAGCAUUCAGUUGGGCACUCUAGCGAGACUGCCGGUGAUAAACCGGAGGAAGGUGGGGAUGACGUCAAAUCAUCAUGCCCCUUAUGAGCUGGGCUACACACGUGCUACAAUGGACGGUACAACGAGUUGCGAUCCCGCAAGGGUUAGCGAAUCUUUAUAAGCCGUUCUCAGUUCGGAUUGCUCUCUGCAACUCGAGAGCAUGAGGCCGGAAUCGCUAGUAAUCGCGGAUCAGAACGCCGCGGUGAAUACGUUCCCGGGUCUUGUACACACCGCCCGUCACACCACGAGAGUUCGUAACACCCGAAGCCGGUGGAGCAACCCUUUUAGGGAGCUAGCC
rnacentral:rRNA from 1 species